GAUGAAGAACGUAGCGAAAUGCGAUAAGUAGUGUGAAUUGCAGAAUUCAGUGAAUCAUCGAAUCUUUGAACGCACAUUGCGCCCUUUGGUAUUCCUUAGGGCAUGCCUGUUCGAGCGUCAUCUAAACCUUCAAGCACUGCUUGGUGUUGGGUGCCUGUCCCGCCCCCGCGCGUGGACUCACCUCAAAUCCAUUGGUGGCCCUCACGUCGGCUACGAGCGCAGCAGAAACGCGAACUUGUGGACCCGGCGGAGUGGCUCCCAGAAGCUACAUUCACCAUUUUGACCUCGGAUCGGGUAGGGAUACCCGCUGAACUUAAGCAUAUCAAUAAGCGGAGGA
rnacentral:misc_RNA from 1 species